GCCAUGCGGGAGAUCGCAUUGGACUCUGGGUUAAAAAACAACACAAGCAAAAAAGUACACGAUGCUCAGCGAGUGACUCAUGUUGUUGUGCACAAAUAACCUGUAAACCUGUUUAAAAACUGAUAUUUUCCUGUUCCCAGUGUGUUUGACCACGCACGCAUACACACACACAUAUGCACAGAAUAAAAAAUAACUACGACAACUACAAAUGCUUCAUUACAACAACCAAAUGCUGUGAGUUCUACAUCUGGGAAUAAAGAAAAUAACAAACUCCA